CCUACGGGUGGCUGCAGUGGGAAUAUUGCACAAUGGGGGGAACCCUGAUGCAGCGACGCCGCGUGAGUGAAGAAGUAUUUCGGUAUGUAAAGCUCUAUCAGCAGGGGAGAAGAUGACUGUACCUGACUAAGAAGCCCCGGUUAACUACGAGCCAGCAGCCGCGGGAAGACGUAGGGGGCAAGCGUUAUCCGGGUUUACUGGGUGUAAAGGGAGCGUAGACGGCAGGGCAAGUCUAGAGUGAAAGCCCGGGGCCCAACCCCGGGACUGCUUUGGAAACUGCCAUGCUAGAGUGCUGGAGAGGUAUGCGGAAUGCCUAGUGUAGCGGUGAAAUGCGUAGAUAUUAGGAGGAACACCAGUGGCGAAGGCAGCUUACUGGACAGUAACUGACGUUGAGGCUCGAAAGCGUGGGGAGCAAACAGGAUUAGAUACCCGGGUAGUC
rnacentral:rRNA from 1 species